CAAUAGCGUAUAUUAAAGUUGUUGCAGUUAAAAAGCUCGUAGUUGAAUUUCUGGCGGGCGCGCCGGUCUUCCAAGUGUUGUACUGGGCGCAGUCCGCCAUCCUUGUGGAGAGGGCUCGCAUUGAGUUGCGUGUCGGAUCUGCAUCAUUUACUGUGAAAAAAUUAGAGUGUUUAAAGCAGGCUGUCGCUUGAAUACAUUAGCAUGGAAUAAUAAGAUAGGACUUCGGUCUAUUUUGUUGGUUGCGAACCGAGGUAAUGAUUAAUAGGGAUAGUUGGGGGUACUCAUAUUUAAUUGUCAGAGGUGAAAUUCUUGGAUUUAUGAAAGAUGAACAACUGCGAAAGCAUUUACCAAGGAUGUUUUCAUUAA
rnacentral:rRNA from 1 species